rnacentral:lncRNA from 1 species
AGACGGGCUACAUGCUGAGAUGUUCCCUGUCUCACGCCAUCACUCUGGUAUGUACGGCUUAUGGAGUCUCUUAUUUGGAAAAGCGCUCGCCUUGUGGAUGUCAAGAAAGACUAACAUCCCAGGAAUAUUGUAAACGUAGGAAUUUUAUCAGGAUGGAAAUGGGCGUGAGAAUGUGGGGAUUUAUAACCUCUCCAAAGGAGUCAACCGAUUCUGCCUGUCCAAGCCUGGUGUGUACAAAGUGACCCCUCGCUCCUGCCACCGGUUUGAGCAAGCGUUCUACACCUAUGACACGUCUUCACCUAGUAUCUUGACAUUGACAGCCAUUCGCCACCAUGUCCUUGGAACUAUCACCACCGACAAAAUGAUGGAUGUCACUGUGACUAUCAAGUCUUCCAUCGACAGUGAACCCGCCUUGGUCUUAGGCCCUCUGAAGUCUGUGCAGGAGCUGCGGAGGGAGCAGCAGCUGGCUGAGAUCGAGGCCCGCAGGCAGGAGAGGGAGAAAAACGGCAAUGAGGAAGGUGAAGAAAGAAUGACCAAGCCUCCCGUGCAGG